AACGAACGCUGGCGGCAUGCCUAACACAUGCAAGUCGAACGAGACCUUCGGGUCUAGUGGCGCACGGGUGCGUAACGCGUGGGAACCUGCCCUUAGGUUCGGAAUAACUCCCCGAAAGGGGUGCUAAUACCGGAUAAUGUCUUCGGACCAAAGAUUUAUCGCCUUUGGAUGGGCCCGCGUUGGAUUAGCUAGUUGGUAGGGUAAAAGCCUACCAAGGCGACGAUCCAUAACUGGUCUGAGAGGAUGAUCAGCCACACUGGGACUGAGACACGGCCCAGACUCCUACGGGGGGCAGCAGUGGGGAAUAUUGGACAAUGGGCGAAAGCCUGAUCCAGCAAUGCCGCGUGAGUGAUGAAGGCCUUAGGGUUGUAAAGCUCUUUUACCCGGGAUGAUAAUGACAGUACCGGGAGAAUAAGCUCCGGCUAACUCCGUG
rnacentral:rRNA from 1 species